UGGCUCAAUUGGUAAAGAAUCUGCCUGCAAUGCAGGAGACCAGGGUUCAAUCCCUG
rnacentral:tRNA from 1 species